CAGAGCGUAGCUAAAUAGCACAGCAUCUCCCUUACACCGAGAAGACGCCCGUGCAAACCGGGCCGCACUGA
rnacentral:tRNA from 1 species